CAGAGUUUGUCCUGGCUCAGGAUGAGCGCUAGCUACAGGCUUAACACAUGCAAGUCGAGGGGCAGCAUGUUGGUUGCUUGCAACCAACGAUGGCGACCGGCGCACGGGUGAGUAACGCGUAUCCAACCUACCCUUGUCCAUCGGAUAACCCGUCGAAAGGCGGCCUAACACGAUAUGCGGUUCACGGCAGGCAUCUAAGGUGAACGAAAUGUGAAGGAGAAGGAUGGGGAUGCGUCUGAUUAGCUUGUUGGCGGGGUAACGGCCACCAAGGCUACGAUCAGUAGGGGUUCUGAGAGGAAGGUCCCCCACAUUGGAACUGAGACACGGUCCAAACUCCAC
rnacentral:rRNA from 1 species